GAAGCUGUGAAAAUGGGAAUGGCGAGCUCUCUAUGGAGGAAAUGCGCAGAUUGCCUGUACGCCAAGUGGGAGAGGACGAUUCUUUGGGAUAUGAUAAAGCCAUACAAGAGGAUACCCAAGUUGUCUACUCCUCUUGUUACUAUUUAUAUAGCUGUUUUCUACAUGGGGGUCAUUGGCUCUGCAAUUACUGAGUAACUCUACAAGGAGAAGUACUGGGAAGAUCAUCCCAGUGAAGCAGUGCUUCUCAAGAAGCCAAAAUUCUACUAUGGCCCUUGGAAGGUGCUUAGAGGGGAGGCUCUGCCACCCAGUCAGUGAAAACCACAACAAUUUUAUUUGUUUUCAGUUACUUCCAAUUUGUUUUUUGUUUCUUUUUUGUAUAUGUCACAGGCUCCAUAGAUUUUAGCAAACAAGGAUUUCCCACUGCUUGAAAAUAAAUAUAUGGAGCAUACAU
rnacentral:misc_RNA from 1 species